rnacentral:rRNA from 1 species
UACGUAGGGGGCUAGCGUUGUCCGGAAUCAUUGGGCGUAAAGAGCGUGUAGGCGGUCCGGUAAGUCCGUUGUGAAAGUCAGGGGCUCAACCCUUGAAUGCCGGCGGAUACUGUCGGGCUAGAGUACGGAAGAGGCGAGUGGAAUUCCUGGUGUAGCGGUGAAAUGCGCAGAUAUCAGGAGGAACACCUAUUGCGAAGGCAGCUCGCUGGGACGUAACUGACGCUGAGACGCGAAAGCGUGGGGAGCAAACAGG